ensembl:lncRNA
CUUAACACCACAUGGAAGUCACCAAGGCUUUUGGCUUGCAUCCUCUGAAGCAGCAGCCCAAGGUAUACCUGGGCCCCUUUGAGCCACAGUGGCUCAUGACUCCUUGGCUUACUGUUUCACUGUAUUCUGUGUGUGAG